AGUGAACGCUGGCGGCAGGCCUCACUCAUGCAAGUCGAACGAGUGGCGGACGGGUGAGCAAUUCAUCGGCAUCUCCUCUGUCGUGGGGGAUAACGUAGGGAAACUUAAGCUAAUACCGCAUACGAUUCCAUGAGCCGAUGUCGGAUUAGCUAGUUGGCGGGGUAAAGGCUCACCAAGGCGACGAUCCGUAGCUGGUCUGAGAGGAUGAGCAGCCACACUGGAACUGAGACACGGUCCAGACUCCUACGGGAGGCAGCAGUGGGGAAUAUUGGACAAUGGGCGCAAGCCUGAGCCAGCCAUGCCGCGUGAGUGAAGAAGGCCUUCGGGUUGUAAAGCCCUUUUGUUGGGAAAGCGGUACCCAAAGAGUAAGCACCGGCUAACUUCGUGCCAGCAGCCGCGGUAAUAC
rnacentral:rRNA from 1 species